CAGCGCGGGCCAGGGCGUGCGCUCGCCCCUGCGGACGCAGCCUGGAGGAGUGUGUGUGGGGGUGUCUGCGCGGGGGUCUGGAUGUGUCCAGCAGCGGCACGGCAGCCUGAUGCCUCCUCUCGUCUGGGACGCGGGUUCCUUGGCAGCUCUUCUGGGAUGCGGGGCCCUUGGGUAGUCCACCGAAGGGGGACAUCUCGAAGAGAAGCAGCGAGACCUGGGGAUCCGGUUGUUCGUUUUGGUCGUCGCCUGUGAGGCCAGCAUCCGAGCGUAAGAGGAAUCUAGGCGCUGUCUCGAAAAGAGAUGGCACCAAGGACAGCAAAUGCUGACAAAGAGAAGAGACGGACAAGCAUUUUCUUGUGAUUAAUACCGAAGGGACGGGAUGAAACAAGGAAGCCAAAAUGCAGUGGACCCUCGAUAUCACCAGGAACUGCUACAGGAGGCGGCGUUCUGGCACGGGUAACUAAGGGCGAUGGAUUUUACUCUGCCUCCAUCAACAGGCGCUGGCUGGCAAAGUCGUCGUGUCCCAGCGGAGACUCUUAGGCAGGACGGGAGGAGUUCGGAUCCGCAGCCUGCCAGAAGAGCGUCGCCCGGGAGGGGUCGCUAGCCUUGAGCUACAGGCGCUGGUGCUGAAGCCCAGUCGGGCAGUCGAAGGAGCCUCAUCGCAGCUGGGAGCUCUGCGGAGAUGCGUGGCCGGCUGUGGAGGAUGAGCUCUGACUUGCGGCAUGGACACGGCUAAGUCCUGGGCUGCAUCGUACGCGAGUGGGGCUGGGAGGUGCGAGGCGUUCGUCCCCUAGCCGUGGUCACUGUGGCCGUUUGCCCACGGAGCUGAGAGGACCAAACAUACUAAUUGCCUGACCCAGAGAUGAAUUAGUGCUUGCAGGCUUUCAGGUAGGUUCAGUGCAAGUGCAGCUUAGUGCAGUCCUGUGGAGUGACGCUUGCACAUGCUCACAUUUGAAUGGUGGCUAAAACCAAGCCUCUAAACAGCAACUGUAACGCAAUUCUGGUGCUUGUCUUCCUGUUCUGCUGUACUUCUAAAGGAAGGGAAAGCUUCCUAAGCUGCGGGCAAAACUCCUUGGCUUCUCUUGACUGUUUCCAUGCUCUGGAAACAGCUUUGGGUGCUUUGGUGCUUGUUGCUUAAAGCUGAGGGUUUGGAAUUUUUCACUUAAGGUUGAUUGUUUAGCUUGCUGCUGAGGGUCUCUCACGCAGGAGUUACGGGUUAUUCCUUUCUUUUGUGGGGCUCACUCUUUAUCAGUCAGGGUUUACAGUUUGCUCAUGUAGCAAUCGGGGCGCAGAAUUUAAAAUCCAACCCCAUCCCUUGUCCCGAUCCAAUAUCGGGGGGGUUUCGUUACGAUCCCAAGGACGUGAUUAAGACGCUAAAACCGGUCAAAUAUCGUACAACCGUUUAACAUUAUUUUCCACAAA